rnacentral:lncRNA from 1 species
CUUCAAAAAGCAGAAUAAUCUCAUUGAUUAUCACUUUGAUGCAUUAUUUAUCAUAUAAGUGUAUACAGGUGGCCACUUUACCAGAUGGACUGCCAUUGCACAUGUGAAAUAGAAGUUGCUGAGUGAUUGCCUUUUUCCCUUCCUUGCUGUCUAGAAACUUACUUUCUUUAGCUGCCACAUGCACCAAUGGCAAGUAAGUAACUUGGCCUCCUGAACACAUCAUAUUAACAGAAACAGC